CACCCCGCCAGUCUUUUCCAUCUGUUUCAUCUACAUCUAAUUUGACCUCACCAAGUCUCUUUAAGCAUUCAACUUAGUUUUCAUAGAAACAUGCCUUUCUUUCCUCCCUGAUUUCACAUGACUAGUAACAAGAGCACCUGGUAUAAAUAGGUUUGGGGGAAGAAACAACUCUUGGUAAGCAUGCAUCUCAAUGGGUGGAAGCAGAAAGAUGGAGAGUUAGAGUGGCUAUUCAUUGGGGCCAGUUUGCAUGCUGGGGUACCAGUGGCUUCCCAGAGUGAAGGGGAAGCAUUGGUUAUUGGGGCAGGUUGGUUGAGUGGAGGUGGGUUAAGAGAGCUUCUGCACUAACAUAAAAUUAUAAAUAAGGGGAGGUUGUUAGCAAUUUGGGGACAAGAUAUUUUAUAGAAUCUUUUAUUUAAAGCGUAUACUUCAGGGUGGUAUUUUUGUCCACUUCUGUUAGAGUUUGCGUGAACUGAAUUGAAUUUGAUCAUGGGCCAGCGAUGUUAAAAUUUUGGUGAGGAAACAGCCAGACUCUCUAGUUUCAAAGGUUUAUAUGUGUUCACUGCCAGUGUAGUGUUCCAUGGAACAAGUUGACAUUUUCAUGUAGUAAGUUGUUUUCUGUUCCUGGCAAAAGAAAUCUUGGUUCCUAUGCCACAAGAAACAGAAUUGUUUUUAUUGUGAAAGGCAGGAGCAGAGAUGUGUGUUUCUUAUUUGGAUUAGAUGAGCACCUGCAGGAUUUCUUCUUUCUUUCUGCUUCCUGCCUCCUGUUGUCCUUCCUUCUGUCAAAAUGUUCAUUAGAAUGUUGCAUAAAGCAGCGUUCGGACAAUAGAUGAGUUUUUUUUUAGUAGCUCAUUUUUCCAAAUCCUCAAAAUAAUGUUUUUAGUGAUUGCAUGUUCUUGGCUUACUUUCCAUUUCUACAUCAACAGUGAUAUUGUUAUUCUAGUCAAAUGGGACAGUUGUAUUCCAGCAAUGAUCUCUGUGUGUAAGUCAGCUGCAGAGACACCACGUUCAUAUAUUAGACCUAAAUAUUUUAUCUGUAUAGAGUAGUUCUGGUACAUAAUCGAAUUUGAGCGUGGUUCUUUCGGAUCUCCUUAAAAGGUUUUACAUCCCUUGAGAAUAAAGUAACUAGUUUGAAGCGUGUCGUUCGUUGGCCCCUUGGACACAUGCAGAAGGGUGGCCAGUGAUUUCAGCCUGCUGCCUCUUCUGAUCUCAUUUUUCUUCUUCCUUUUCAGUCAGCAGCUGCAUCCAGUGCCCUGAUCUAAUUGAGCUCUUAGUAAAAGGGGUACUGUUAUACUGAGUCACAACGUCUUAUAUCAAGGGGGGGGGGGGCUAGAUUUUUUUUUUUUUAGGUCAGGACUCCAUCUUGGAGUUACAUACAAUUUUAAAACCAUAUUUCAGUUGUGUUACCUAAAUUUCUCUUCCUUUUCUUAUGCUAGUACUUGUGUUUUCUGCUUUUUCAGCUCUUUGGGGAACCUUAUUGGCCCAUCAAAAUUGCCUGAGGCAGUCUUUAGCAAUGAAUUGAGCAUUAGUGUGGAAGUCCAGGCACAUGUUGGCAGAUUUAAUUUUUAAUAGCUAGCAAUUUUCUUUGGCCAAAUCACUUAACCUCAUGGAGCUUCCAGUUUUGUUUUUUUUUUUUUGUAUAUAUAUAUUUUAAGAGCUUUACUGAGAUAUAAUUCACAUGCUAUACAAUUCACUCAAUUCAGUGUUUUUAGUAUACUCACAGAGUUGUGCAGCCAUCAGCACAAUUUUAGAACAUUUUCAUUCCCCUUAAAAAAAAUGGCAUAUACCAGUUAGCAGUCAUUACCCGUUUCCUCAGCCUCCUUCCCCCAGCCCUAAGCAACCACUAAUCAGUUUUCUAGAUUUGUGUCUUCUGGACAUUUCAUAGAAAUAGAAUCAUACAAAAUACGGCCUCUUGUGUCUGGCUUCUUUCACUUAGCAUAGUGUCUUCAAGGUUCAUAUAUGUGCUGGCAGAGAUGCAUGUCAGAAUUCAGAAUUUCAUGACUUUUUAUGGCCAAAUAAUAGUUUUCUGCACGGCUAGACUGCUCUUGGUUUAUCCGUUCGUGAACUGAUGGGCAUUUGCAUUGUUUCUACUCUUUGCCUGUUGUGAGCAACGCUGUUAUGAACACUCACAUACAAGUUUUCGUGUGGACAGAUGUUUUUAUUUCUCUCGGGUGUAUACACUCAAGGGUGAAAUUGCCCGAUCAUGUAGCUCCACGUGUAACUUUUUGAGGAAUUGCCAAACUGUUUUCCAAAAUGGCUGUUCCCAUUCUACAUUCCCACCAGGAAUCAGUGAGGGUUGCAGCGCCCCUAUAUCCUCACCAGAACUUUUAAUCCGGCCAUCCUAGUGGAUAUGAAGUGGUAUUUCAUUGUGGUUUUGAUUUGCAUUUUCCUAAUGACUGUUGGUGUUGAGCAUCUUUUCAUGCACUGAUUGCCGAUUUGUAGAUCUUUGGAGAAGUGUCUAUUUCGAUUUUUGCCUGUAUUUUUGUGGGGUUAUUUGUCUUUUUGUUGUUGAGUUGUAAGAAUUCUUUACGUAUUCCGGGUACAAGUUCUUUAUCAGAUGAUUUACAAAUAUUUUCUCCCGCUUUUUGGGGUGUCUUUUCACUUCCUUGAUGGUUUUGUUAGUAGCACAAAAGUUUUUAAUUUUGAUGCGCUUGUUUCUUUCUUUUUUAAUUUUUUAAAAUGCUUUUAUUUAUUUUUGAGAGACAGAGAGAGAGUGAGCAUGGGGGAGGGGCAGAGAGAGAUGGAGACGUGGAAUCCAAAGCAGGGUCCAAGCUCUGAGCUGUCAGCACAGAGCCUGACACGUGGCUCGAACUCAUGAACCAUGAGAUCAUGACCUGAGCUGAAAUCGGACACUGAACUGACUGAGCCACCCAGGCGCCCCUGAUGCACUCGUUUCUUAAUUUGUAAGGUUAUUCUAACUCUGAAAUUAUAUGGUCUGUUGUGAAUAUUUUCUUCUAUUUUUUCUCAUUCUCUUCCUUUCUCCUACUUUCAAAUAGUUCUCCCUUUUCCAGGACAUUUUGUAGCCUCAAAGACUGUUUAAAAACAUCCGUGUAUCUAUCUGAUACAUGUGUCUUAUGAAAUAAUCAAACUUUACAAGUAUAUGACAUAGGAAGUAGUAGUUCCCUUUCUUCAGAGAAAAUAGAGAGAGAGAGAGAGAGAGAGAGAGAGCGCGCGCGCGCAGUGGAGAGGGGCAGAGGGACAGAGGGGGAAAGAGAGAAUCUUAAACAGGCUCCAUGCCUGCCUAGCGUGGAGCCUGAUGUGGAGCUCGAUCCCAAGACCCUGGGAUCAUGACCUGAGCUGGAAUCAAGAGUCAGAUGCUCAACUGACUGGGCCACCCGGGAACCCCAUUGUUAACAUUUUAUAACCAGAUUUUCCUAUUCACGUGUUAACAUUUUAUGUUUUUUUUUUUUAAUUAAAAAGGGAUCAUACCACACAUCCAGUUUGUUACUUAUUUUUUAAUUUGAAUAAUAUAUCUCUGAUCUUCUCCCAUGUUAGUACAUUUUGCUCUAGUUUCAAUCUUUUUAAUGGCUGCCGAGUAUUCCAUUUUAUGGAUACACUAUAAUUUAUUUAAGUUAUACCCUAUUGAUAGAUUUAAUGUUGUUCCCAGCUUUUAUUAUUUUUUAUUACAAAUUAUAUCUGUUAGCCUCUCUGCACAUGUAUAUUUGCACGCUUAUGUUAGUGUUUCUAUUUCAUUUAUUGCUUUGCAUUAUUUAAUACUCAAAAGACUCAGACUUAAUUUUU